rnacentral:tRNA from 1 species
UCAGGGGUAGUUUAAUAUAAAAUAUUAAUUUUGGGGAUUAAAGAUAAAGAAAAAUAUUUCCUCUGAA